rnacentral:rRNA from 1 species
GGGCCCGCACAAGCGGUGGAGUAUGUGGUUUAAUUCGAUGCAACGCGAAGAACCUUACCAGGGUUUGACAUCCUGCGAAUCUCUUGGAAACAGGAGAGUGCCUUCGGGAACGCAGUGACAGGUGGUGCAUGGCUGUCGUCAGCUCGUGUCGUGAGAUGUUGGGUUAAGUCCCGCAACGAGCGCAACCCACGUCUUUAGUUGCCAGCAUUUAGUUGGGCACUCUAGAGAGACUGCCGGUGAUAAACCGGAGGAAGGUGAGGACGACGUCAAGUCAGCAUGCCCCUUACGCCCUGGGCUACACACGUACUACAAUGGCCGAGACAAAGAGUCGCAAGUUUGCAAAGACAAGCCAAUCUCAUAAACUCGGUCUCAGUUCGGAUUGCAGGCUGCAACUCGCCUGCAUGAAGUUGGAAUCGCUAG